rnacentral:rRNA from 1 species
GAUGAACGCUGGCGGCGUGCUUAACACAUGCAAGUCGAACGGAAAGGCCCAAGCUUGCUUGGGUACUCGAGUGGCGAACGGGUGAGUAACACGUGGGUGAUCUGCCUUGCACUUCGGGAUAAGCCUGGGAAACUGGGUCUAAUACCGGAUAGGACCACAUUUUGGAUGGUGUGGUGGAAAGUUUUUCGGUGUGGGAUGAGCUCGCGGCCUAUCAGCUUGUUGGUGGGGUAAUGGCCUACCAAGGCGUCGACGGGUAGCCGGCCUGAGAGGGUGUACGGCCACAUUGGGACUGAGAUACGGCCCAGACUCCUACGGGAGGCAGCAGUGGGGAAUAUUGCACAAUGGGCGCAAGCCUGAUGCAGCGACGCCGCGUGGGGGAUGACGGCCUUCGGGUUGUAAACUCCUUUCGCUAGGGACGAAGCGUUAUGUGACGGUACCUGGAGAAGAAGCACCGGCUAACUACGUG